rnacentral:rRNA from 1 species
GUGCACCAGUCGCGAAUAGUCUACAAUGGACGAAAGUCUGAUAGUGCGACGCCGUGUGUGCGAUUAAUUCCUUCGGGAUGUAAAGCACUUUUCUAUGAGAUAAAAGCUCUUUAGGUUAAUAGCUUAUUGAGACGGAUAUUAUUAUAGGAAUAAGCUCCGGCUAACUCCGUGCCAGCAGCCGCGGUAAUACGGAAGGAGCGAGCGUUGUCCGGAUUUACUAGGCGUAAAGGGCUAGUAGGCGACUAAUUAAGUUAUAUGUUAAAUCCCACGGCUCAACUGUGGUCCUGCAUGUAAUACUGGUUAGAUAGAGUACUGUAGAGGAAGGCAGAAUUCCUGGAGUAGCGGUGGAAUGCGCAGAUAUCAGGAAGAAUACCAAAAGCGAAGGCAGCCUUCUGGGCAGUUACUGACGCUGAAUAGCGAAGGUGUGGGUAGCGAACAGGAUUAGACUACCCUGUA